rnacentral:lncRNA from 1 species
ACCUACUUCCGGGCCGCUGCGCAUGCGCACCUAGUCGAGCGCUCCGAGCGCCACAGUCGCAUCAAGCGCUUCGCACCGCAAGAAAAUACCCGUUUCCGUGGUCCAUAGGCCUACGUAGCCACAAACGCACGUGGACUUUUUUUGUGAGCGCCCGUCCUUCUCGUCCUUGUUCCUUCCUUCUCAUGAGCACUGCACGAAGUUCAUCGUGAACCCUUUUGUGUUCAUCGCGCAGUUGCACCUUGCCGUGCAGCCCUACAUGCAGGAGUGCUGAUGAGGUGAGUAGA